GGCCAACAUUGGUGGAAAAUAAAUCUCCUGCUCCUGCAAAAGGAAUGAAUUGGUCCUUUGCUGCUGGCACAAAUUUAUUUCCUGGUCUCACUGCAAAGAUAGACAGAGAGUCCAAGCAGAAGCUUAAUGAAUUUGCCAAAGAAAUUAGGUCAUUCAGCAUUGUUGACAUGUCAGGGUGUAACUUUGGAGAUGAAGGACUAUUUUUCCUUGCUGAGAGCUUAGCAUACAAUCAGUUGCUUUCAGACUCUAGAGGAAGUGAGUUUUGCUGCAAAUGGAAUAACUGCUGAAGGAAUAAAAGCCUUUGAUCGUGUUCUUCAGUCAAACUUUGUAUUAAAGACUCUAAACUNNNNNGAAACCCUAUUGGAGAUGAAGGAGCUAAGAGUCUAUGUGAUAUAUUAGUAGAUAAUAACAGUAUUGAAAAGCUCCAGCUGAACAGCGCAGACCUGGGUGAUGAGGGUGCAAAGGCAAUUGCAGACUUGCUGAAGAAAAAUUCAAAUCUGCGUGUGAUUGAGCUUAAUAACAAUAUGAUUGAUUAUUCUUAGGGAUUUACAAGUCUUGCUGGAGCAUUUUUGGAGAAUGCCACUGUACGAAGUAUAUAUCUCAAUGGCAAUUAUGGUGGCGCUUUGGGGGCUAAUGCUUUGGCUAAGGGACUUGAGGGAAACAAGUCAUUAAGGGAACUUCAUUUGCAAGGAAAUUCUAUUGGAGAUGAAGGAGUUCGUGCCUUGAUGUCGGGUUUGUCUGCCAGUAAAGUGAAACUUACCCAUCUAGACCUUGGAAACAACUCUAUUAGUGCAAAGGGAGCCUUUCACAUUGCUGAAUAUGUAAAGAAGAGCGNNNNNNNNNNNNNUGUACAUGAAUGACAUCAGUGAUCAGGGUGCCGAAAAAGUUGCAGAAGCUCUAAAGCAGAACCGGAGUUUAGCAAUAAUAGACUUGGGUGGAAAUAACAUCCAUGCCAAGGGGAUUAGUGAGAUAGCUCAAGUUUUGAAAGACAACUCUGUCAUAUCAACAUUGGAAGUUGGUUAUAAUCCUAUUGGACCUGAUGGAGCCGAGGCAUUAUCUGAAGUUCUUAAGUUUCAUGGAAGCAUAAAAUCCUUAAAGCUUGGUUGGUGCCAGAUAGGAGCAAAAGGCGCUGAGUACAUUGCAGAUACACUGAAAUAUAAUAAUACCAUAACAAUUCUAGACUUGCGA
rnacentral:misc_RNA from 1 species